GACGAACGCUGGCGGCGUGCUUAACACAUGCAAGUCGAACGGAAAGGCCCUGCUUUUGUGGGGUGCUCGAGUGGCGAACGGGUGAGUAACACGUGAGUAACCUGCCCUUGACUUUGGGAUAACUUCAGGAAACUGGGGCUAAUACCGGAUAGGAGCUCCUGCUGCACGGUGGGGGUUGGAAAGUUUCGGCGGUUGGGGAUGGACUCGCGGCUUAUCAGCCUGUUGGUGGGGUAGUGGCUUACCAAGGCUUUGACGGGUAGCCGGCCUGAGAGGGUGACCGGCCACAUUGGGACUGAGAUACGGCCCAGACUCCUACGGGAGGCAGCAGUGGGGAAUAUUGCACAAUGGGCGGAAGCCUGAUGCAGCAACGCCGCGUGCGGGAUGACGGCCUUCGGGUUGUAAACCGCUUUCGCCUGUGACGAAGCGUGAGUGACGGUAAUGGGUAAAGAAGCACCGGCUAACUACGUG
rnacentral:rRNA from 1 species